AAAGUUUAUCCGAAUUAUCAGGCCGAGUAAACUUUGGUCUCGGGUCAGAUUGCACCUUGAAAGCCAUGACGCUUUCUCGAUUAGAGGCCACUGUAUCAGUCGAGCUUAGCCUCUCGGCCUGAAUAAUUUGCUGAUAGGAUUUGUCCACCCCCGGAAGAGGGUCUUGAGCAAGAAGUUGACCUCGGAUGGAGGCAAACUUGUCAUCCAAACCAAUCAAAAAAUGAUGUACGUAGUCAUCUUCCCGCAAUUUUUCCACCUGGGAAACAAUAUUACAUGAACAAUUCCCACAAGAACACGACGGAACAGUGAUAUACGUGUGGAGUUCAUCCCAAAUUUUGGCCAGACGACCAAAAUACAUUGCAACAGAUUCAUUUUCUUCCCGCAAUUUUUCCACUUGGGAAACAAUAUUACAGGAACAGUUCCCACAAGAACACGACGGAACAGUUAUAUAUGUGUGGAGUUCACCCCAAAUUUUGGCCAAACGACCAAAAUAUGUUGUAACAGGUUCAUUUAUCUCCUGUUUACACAAGCCCAAAGAGAGCUUCAAUUGACAAAUCCUUGUGCCAUUGACAACACAAAAGCGAUUUUUAAGGUUUGUCCAUAGCAAGUGAGCAUCAUCAUAUUCACCAAUCGUAGAACGAAUAGUCGGUUCUAGAGUAUUGGUAAUCCAAGAGACCAACAUUGAAUGAACGACCUCCCAAUCCUCUCGCUUCUGGACAUCAGUAGGCUUCACAAUCGAGCCAUCAACAAAACCAAACUUUCGUUUGGCCUUCAACGAGGUCUUGAUCGCCCUCGCCCACUCAUCGUAGUUUUCACCACGAAGCUGAAUAGGAGUGAACGAGGUCUUGAUCGCCCUCGCCCACUCAUCGUAGUUUUCACCACGAAGCUGAACAGGAGUGAUGAUAUUUCAUGGACCAUCACUUGAGCCCAAGUGAUAGACUAAAUCAACCUUGGGUACGGAUUUGUCUUCCUCACCAGGCAUGAUAACGAAUUUGUAGAGGGAGAAAAAAAAAAUUAAAAAUUAUGUGAUAACUCUUUCUCAAUUAUACGUGAUUAAUGGAUAAUACGUAUAAGAAAUUAUCAAAAACCUAGGCUCUUGAUACCAUGAAAGGAUUAAUAAUUUCACCACACACUUGUGGACUUUCAUUCAUUGAAUAUAUAUAGGAUACAAAUACAAGUGAUAAGACAAUAAGAUUUACACAAAUCCCUAACUUGUAGGAGAGCGAACUAAUUUAUAUUUAUCUAGGAUUCUUCAAUUUUAUCUCUAAGCUUAUCUCUAAUAUAAUAUGCUGACAAUAUUAAUUGAUAUUAAUUUCCUAAUACCCCCCCCUCAAGUUGGAGCAUACGGGUUACAAAUGCCCAACUUGCGAAGUAAAAUUUCAAACUUGUCUCUUCCAAGAUUCCCAUAUAGAGAAGGCAAGGUCUUAAAUAGUCGGGUAAGUUAUCAUAACUUAACUGCAUAGUUGCCCGACUAUAGUCUUCAGACUCACGGUCAAGAUAGGAAAAUAGAGCUUUUUUAACCUUAUGCCACCAAGAUCUUUCCAUUUUCUUCCUUUUGAUUAUUCCAGCUACCAAGACAACCACUAGGGGCAACCCUUUGCAACGUCUUGCAACAUCUAGACUCACAUCGUGUAGUUCAGGUGGGCAAGUUUCCACCAACCCGUAAUCUUCUGGUCACAUGGCAACUACUUUAGUUCGUCCUCAUAAAAAAAUUUUAGUUACCAAAUCAGUGAAAAAUGAGAUAAUAGCAAGUGAAACCAACAUAAAUAUUUUGAAAAGAAGCAACGGAAUCAAAAGUUAAUAUUCAGUCUUACAAUGAAGCAAGCGCGAAAAGGGUACAACUAGUCGGGUUUGCAAAGCGAUAACUAGAAAUGACGGUUAAAAAAAAACAAGCGCGAAAAGAGUAGUCUGUAAGUUUUUCUUACAUGUGUGUGGCCCAGUUGGUUUAAGGUCCGUAAUUAAUAUUUAAUUAAUGACUAAAUCUUACCCGUCCAAUAGGUUACUUGAUGGAUGUACCAGAUUAAGUGAGAACCUCUAUAAAUUGGUCCGCUGUUACCACUUAAAUUUCUACAUACAAUCCCAUCAUUGACGGCUGUGGUAAUGUAAGGCUAGGGCUAGGAGGUAGAAAACUAUUUCUAUAAAUGCUUUCGCUUUGUGAUAAUUGUUGCUGCUUCAGGUAUGUUUAAUUAUAUAUAAGAUUAUCACGUUCAAGAUCUUGAUAUUAAUUAAAGUUUAUGUUUACAUAGUCUUCUUUUGCCCUCUUUUGUGUGUGUGUGUCUCCAAUUUUAUGAUCUUGUAAGGAGAAAAAGUGUAUUAGGAGCUACUAUGCUUGUGAAAGAUUAUACACAUUCUGCAUUUUUUUUUUAAUGAAAACUUUCACAAAUUGCUUCCCUUAGGUUUUGAUAUCAAAUAUAUUAUACGAACUUCCCUUCUUUCAUAUUUUUUUAGGUAAGUAACAACAACAACAACAACAACUACCCAGUAUAUUCCCACCAGGUGGGGUCUGGGGAGGAAGAGAUCAUAACUACAACAACAACAACAACAACAACAACAACUACCCAGUAUAUUCCCACCAGGUGGGGUCCGGGGAGGGUAAUAUGUGAGCCUUACCCCUGCCCGAGAGGGCAGAGAGGCUGUUUCCAAUCGACCCUCGGCGUAUAGGAUAACAAAGGAAAAGCUGCAUUAAGAAACAAAGGUAAAAUUAGAAACACAAGCAAGACAAAACCAAAUAAUAAAGCAUAAGUACUCCCGCAGAAAUAACGUAAAUAAUUAUGAAAACAUAAGCAACAUAGAUACAGUCACAUGCAAUAAUAAAAUAAAGCAUAAGUACUCCCGCAGAAAUAACGUAAAUAAUUAUGAAAACAUAAGCAACAUAGAUACAGUCGCAUGCAAUAAUAACAAGCAGUAACUACCAUACUAACAACCAUAUGGGGACAUAAGCUAAAACACUAAUCACCUAUAAGUAACCCUACUAUCCCACACCCAACCCCUGGAUAGGCUACGAAGAACUCUAUGAGCCCCUAGCCUACAAUCCUGAUUUUAGACCUCCAGACUCCCUUAUCAAGGGUCAUGUCCUCGGUAACCUGCAUUCUGGUCAUGUUCUGCCUAAUCACCUCUCCCUAGGGGUGUUCAUCGGGCGGAUUGAGCGGCUUUUACUCUUAACGGUUUGGCUUAACGGUUAUCGGCUUUUAAAUGUAUUAAUCCGUUAGCCACCCGAUAAGAUAUCGGGCGGAUUGGUAUCGGGUUAGCUCUUAUCGGACGGUUACCGGGCGGUUUAUCGGUUUAAUACCUAUGGGGUUAUCGAAAAGAUUAUACAUAUUCGGAGUACGUGUGUCUGUUAUUGGACAUAGACAUAGACUUCCCAUAACUUUGCGGAAAGAACUAAAGGAAGCCAUACUUUCCUUUCAACAAAGACACAGACGUUUUGGUGAACAUACAUAUUGAAACAUUACUUUCCCUCGUAUCUCUUCUCUUCUUAUUCAUAUGUUUGGUAAAGAAAUUUUGGAAGAGCUGCAUAA
rnacentral:lncRNA from 1 species